UACGUAGGGUGCAAGCGUUAAUCGGAAUUACUGGGCGUAAAGCGUGCGCAGGCGGUUUUGUCAGUCUGUCGUGAAAUCCCCGGGCUUAACCUGGGAAUGGCGAUGGAGACCGCAAGGCUAGAGUUUGGCAGAGGGGGGUAGAAUUCCACGUGUAGCAGUGAAAUGCGUAGAGAUGCGGAGGAACACCGAUGGCGAAGGCAGCCCCCUGGGCUAACACUGACGCUCAGGCACGAAAGCGUGGGGAGCAAACAGG
rnacentral:rRNA from 1 species